GAAAUCUCCGAUAAGAUAGAAAUGUGAACCGUACGCAUCCGUGGCCCCGCCCGGUUAUUUGAAGCUCCCUCGAUAAGCUCCCGCGUUGAUGCAUGCAGCGUUUCUCAGUGUUUUAUAUUCAGUCGGUUGAGUCGUCCGCCGCUGCUGACGCACCAAUAUGCAGUUUGUUGGACCAACACUUUUGUGACUGCACUUUUCUUUUCUUUUUCUGUUUGUUUGUCCCUCGCGCUCAGCGGUGUGUCUACGGCCCAGCAACCAUAAACCCACAGACGGUGGUGAAGCUCAGUUGUCUACAGUGUUUUUAGUUGAUACUUUUAAGGUCUUUCCAUACGGUAUAUCAGUUUUCUUUAUGAUAUUGGAGCAUACAGUGUACAGUAUAUGCCUGUGUUUUUACGGUCAACAGCUGUCAAAUAAUUCUGAUGCUUUUUGACUGAUUGCAAUGUUUUUGUAAUGGAGUUACUUUUACUACAUGGACUAUAUCGACUCUAAUACUUAUGAAACCAACUUUAAGGAGAGCUGCUGGCUCGUUUUGCAAUUUGUGUCCACACAGCAAAAAGAUGAGUACAUGGGAUUUUCCCCCAAAUGAUUAAAUAAAAAAAAGUGUUUUCACUUACUACCAGUAACAUUUCAACAUGUAUAUUUUGAGUGGUUCACAGGGAGGUCAGUGUAUCAUCCAGAGUAACCCAAACAUUGUUACUGAAAACACUCUUUGCCGUCGAGUUUGAAUAGAAGUGAAAUGACGCUGCUGGGUGGGCAGUAAAUUAAAACAUUUGUGUCAUUUUGUUUAAAAAAAACAACCAUAUAUAAAAACACUUGUGGGGAAAUCGUGCCAGCGGGUUGCAGUUUAAACCUAAAAGAGGUUUGUUUGAAAGACUCGUUGAACCAGAUGGUUCUGCUUCCAUUGAAGCGAUUCGCUCGGCGGAUCCUGUUGCUUCGGGAGGAAACCGAAACGUAGAGCCGGAUCACUUGUUGAGAUUAAAUUUUUUUUACAGUGCAGCAAAACACUUUAAUCUGCCGCGAAUGCCACGUUAUAACACACAUGUUUAAUAGCUGGAAGCAACGCAGCUUUUGUAGCCAUGAAACCUGUUGAGGGGUCAGAGGGCGGCGAGGAAGGCUUUAAUGAGCUCUGACCUCGAGUUAAGACUUCAAGCCCACUUUCGGUAUUCUGAAACUCAAAGCUUUCAUCCUGCUCAUCUAGUAGAUACGGAUUUGUGUCGGAGCUUCUCGAAAAAACAUUUUUCUAUAUGACAACUGAUCAUUCGGGGAAUGAGGUAUUUUUUUCAUCGGCUUUGGUACACUGUAAACACAGCACUGUUGUUUCAGCCAGUAGAAGCCUAUCGGUUGAUGCACAGAAAUACGGUUCUUCUCCUUCACUUCUCAUGUGUUGUCCUCCCUCCCGUUGGUCUGCCGUUUAAUUAGAUGCGACAUUUCUUUCUUUCUCUCUCGUGUACAGCUUGCUUCAGAGUUUGUCCUCAGACGGGUACUAUUUCAUCUGUACGGUACUUAGGCUGAUGCAAUGAUUUAAAAGACAAUAAAAGACGUAUAAAAUGAAGAUGGCUGCUGUCUGCUUAAAUGUCCUUGGUUCAUGAUGUUAAGCCAAUCAUCAGCUCGUCACACACAUACAUUAUAUGCUGGAUAUAAAAAUGUCAUGUAUUAUUUUGGCUACCCAAAUCUAUUUUACAAAACUUUCAAUCAAUAUAUAAAGUGAGUUAUUUUUAAGUGGGUCUCCAUUUGGUUUGUGUCAUGCUAAGAAUAAAUACAAAUUUGAAGCCCAACACACAACAAUGCACGAGUAAAGGCAGUGAAGUGGAAGACUGUUGUCGAGGCAACAACACGGACA
ensembl:lncRNA